CAGUCGCCGCGGUAAUACGAAGGGGGCUAGCGUUGCUCGGAAUGACUGGGCGUAAAGGGCGCGUAGGCGGCGGCCAAAGUCAGGCGUGAAAUUCCCGGGCUCAACCUGGGGGCUGCGUUUGAUACUUGGUUGCUUGAGUGGGGAAGAGGGUCGUGGAAUUCCCAGUGUAGAGGUGAAAUUCGUAGAUAUUCGGAAGAACACCAGUGGCGAAGGCGGCUCACUGGCUCAUACUGGACGCUGAGGUGCGAAAGCGUGGGGAGCAAACAGGAUUAGAUACCCGCGUAGUCCCUGUCUCUUAUAC
rnacentral:rRNA from 1 species